rnacentral:rRNA from 1 species
AGCGUACACGGUGGAUGCCCUGGCAGUCAGAGGCGAUGAAGGACGUGCUAAUCUGCGAUAAGCGUCGGUAAGGUGAUAUGAACCGUUAUAACCGGCGAUUUCCGAAUGGGGAAACCCAGUGUGAUUCGUCACACUAUCAUUAACUGAAUCCAUAGGUUAAUGAGGCGAACCGGGGGAACUGAAACAUCUAAGUACCCCGAGGAAAAGAAAUCAACCGAGAUUCCCCCAGUAGCGGCGAGCGAACGGGGAGCAGCCCAGAGCCUGAAUCAGUGUGUGUGUUAGUGGAAGCGUCUGGAAAGGCGCGCGAUACAGGGUGACAGCCCCGUACACAAAAAUGCACAUGCUGUGAGCUCGAUGAGUAGGGCGGGACACGUGGUAUCCUGUCUGAAUAUGGGGGGACCAUCCUCCAAGGCUAAAUACUCCUGACUGACCGAUAGUGAACCAGUACCGUGAGGGAAAGGCGAAAAGAACCCCGGCGAGGGGAGUGAAAAAGAACCUGAAACCGUGUACGUACAAGCAGUGGGAGCACGCUUAGGCGUGUGACUGCGUACCUUUUGUAUAAUGGGUCAGCGACUUAUAUUCUGUAGCAAGGUUAACCGAAUAGGGGAGCCGAAGGGAAACCGAGUCUUAACUGGGCGUUAAGUUGCAGGGUAUAGACCCGAAACCCGGUGAUCUAGCCAUGGGCAGGUUGAAGGUUGGGUAACACUAACUGGAGGACCGAACCGACUAAUGUUGAAAAAUUAGCGGAUGACUUGUGGCUGGGGGUGAAAGGCCAAUCAAACCGGGAGAUAGCUGGUUCUCCCCGAAAGCUAUUUAGGUAGCGCCUCGUGAAUUCAUCUCCGGGGGUAGAGCACUGUUUCGGCAAGGGGGUCAUCCCGACUUACCAACCCGAUGCAAACUGCGAAUACCGGAGAAUGUUAUCACGGGAGACACACGGCGGGUGCUAACGUCCGUCGUGAAGAGGGAAACAACCCAGACCGCCAGCUAAGGUCCCAAAGUCAUGGUUAAGUGGGAAACGAUGUGGGAAGGCCCAGACAGCCAGGAUGUUGGCUUAGAAGCAGCCAUCAUUUAAAGAAAGCGUAAUAGCUCACUGGUCGAGUCGGCCUGCGCGGAAGAUGUAACGGGGCUAAACCAUGCACCGAAGCUGCGGCAGCGACACUAUGUGUUGUUGGGUAGGGGAGCGUUCUGUAAGCCUGUGAAGGUGUACUGUGAGGUAUGCUGGAGGUAUCAGAAGUGCGAAUGCUGACAUAAGUAACGAUAAAGCGGGUGAAAAGCCCGCUCGCCGGAAGACCAAGGGUUCCUGUCCAACGUUAAUCGGGGCAGGGUGAGUCGACCCCUAAGGCGAGGCCGAAAGGCGUAGUCGAUGGGAAACAGGUUAAUAUUCCUGUACUUGGUGUUACUGCGAAGGGGGGACGGAGAAGGCUAUGUUGGCCGGGCGACGGUUGUCCCGGUUUAAGCGUGUAGGCUGGUUUUCCAGGCAAAUCCGGAAAAUCAAGGCUGAGGCGUGAUGACGAGGCACUACGGUGCUGAAGCAACAAAUGCCCUGCUUCCAGGAAAAGCCUCUAAGCAUCAGGUAACAUCAAAUCGUACCCCAAACCGACACAGGUGGUCAGGUAGAGAAUACCAAGGCGCUUGAGAGAACUCGGGUGAAGGAACUAGGCAAAAUGGUGCCGUAACUUCGGGAGAAGGCACGCUGAUAUGUAGGUGAAGCGACUUGCUCGUGGAGCUGAAAUCAGUCGAAGAUACCAGCUGGCUGCAACUGUUUAUUAAAAACACAGCACUGUGCAAACACGAAAGUGGACGUAUACGGUGUGACGCCUGCCCGGUGCCGGAAGGUUAAUUGAUGGGGUCAGCGCAAGCGAAGCUCUUGAUCGAAGCCCCGGUAAACGGCGGCCGUAACUAUAACGGUCCUAAGGUAGCGAAAUUCCUUGUCGGGUAAGUUCCGACCUGCACGAAUGGCGUAAUGAUGGCCAGGCUGUCUCCACCCGAGACUCAGUGAAAUUGAACUCGCUGUGAAGAUGCAGUGUACCCGCGGCAAGACGGAAAGACCCCGUGAACCUUUACUAUAGCUUGACACUGAACAUUGAGCCUUGAUGUGUAGGAUAGGUGGGAGGCUUUGAAGUGUGGACGCCAGUCUGCAUGGAGCCGACCUUGAAAUACCACCCUUUAAUGUUUGAUGUUCUAACGUUGACCCGUAAUCCGGGUUGCGGACAGUGUCUGGUGGGUAGUUUGACUGGGGCGGUCUCCUCCUAAAGAGUAACGGAGGAGCACGAAGGUUGGCUAAUCCUGGUCGGACAUCAGGAGGUUAGUGCAAUGGCAUAAGCCAGCUUGACUGCGAGCGUGACGGCGCGAGCAGGUGCGAAAGCAGGUCAUAGUGAUCCGGUGGUUCUGAAUGGAAGGGCCAUCGCUCAACGGAUAAAAGGUACUCCGGGGAUAACAGGCUGAUACCGCCCAAGAGUUCAUAUCGACGGCGGUGUUUGGCA